GACGAGAACUUACCAGGUCUUGACAUCCCGAUGCUAUUCUAGAGAUAGAAAGUUACUUCGGUACAUCGGUGACAGGUGGUGCAUGGUUGUCGUCAGCUCGUGUCGUGAGAUGUUGGGUUAAGUCCCGCAACGAGCGCAACCCCUAUUGUUAGUUGCCAUCAUUCAGUUGGGCACUCUAGCGAGACUGCCGGUAAUAACCGGAGGAAGGUGGGGGAUGACGUCAAAUCAUUAUGCCCCUUAUGACCCGGGCUACACACGUGCUACAAUGGUUGGUACAACGAGUUGCGAGUCGGUGACGGCGAGCUAAUCUCUUAAAGCCAAUCUCAGUUCGGAUUGUAGGCUGCAACUCGCCUACAUGAAGUCGGAAUCGCUAGUAAUCGCGGAUCAGCACGCCGCGGUGAAUACGUUCCCGGGCCUU
rnacentral:rRNA from 1 species